GUCUACGGCCAUACCACCCUGAACGCGCCCGAUCUUGUCUGAUCUCAGAAGCUAAGCAGGGUCGGGCCUGGUUAGUACUUGGAUGGGAGACCGCCUGGGAAAACGGGGUGCUGUAGGCU
ensembl:rRNA 5S_rRNA 5S ribosomal RNA